CAGCCGCCGCGGUAAUACGUAGGUGGCAAGCGUUGUCCGGAAUUAUUGGGCGUAAAGCGUGCGCAGGCGGUUGUGUAAGACAGGUGUGAAAUCCCCGGGCUUAACCUGGGAACUGCGCUUGUGACUGCACAGCUAGAGUAUGGCAGAGGGGGGUGGAAUUCCACGUGUAGCAGUGAAAUGCGUAGAGAUGUGGAGGAACACCGAUGGCGAAGGCAGCCCCCUGGGCCAAUACUGACGCUCAUGCACGAAAGCGUGGGGAGCAAACAGGAUUAGAUACCCCCGUAGUCCCUGUCUCUUAUAA
rnacentral:rRNA from 1 species